rnacentral:rRNA from 1 species
AGGCCAGACUCCUACGGGAGGCAGCAGUGGGGGAUAUUGCACAAUGGGGGGAACCCUGAUGCAGCGACGCCGCGUGAGGGAAGACGGCCUUCGGGUUGUAAACCUCUGUCGCAGGGGACGAAGGAGAUGACGGUACCCUGUGAGGAAGCCACGGCUAACUCCGUGCCAGCAGCCGCGGUAAUACGGAGGAUGCGAGCGUUAUCCGGAUUUAUUGGGUUUAAAGGGUGCGCAGGCGGCACGGCAAGCCGGCGGUCAAAUCGCGGGGCUCAACCCCGCCCAGCCGUCGGAACUGCCGGGCUAGAGUGGGCGAGAAGUGCGCGGAAUGCGUGGUGUAGCGGUGAAAUGCAUAGAUAUCACGCAGAACUCCGAUUGCGAAGGCAGCGCACCGGCGCCCUACUGACGCUCAGGCACGAAAGCGUGGGUAUCGAACAGGAUUAGAUACCCGCGUA